GACGAACGCUGGCGGCGUGCUUAACACAUGCAAGUCGAACGGUGAUGGCCAGCUUGCUGGUCUGAUCAGUGGCGAACGGGUGAGUAACACGUGAGCAACCUACCCCAGACUCUGGAAUAACCAUGGGAAACGAUGGCUAAUACCGGAUACGAGACGUACACGCAUGUGUGGUGUCUGGAAAGAUUUAUCGGUCUGGGAUGGGCUCGCGGCCUAUCAGCUUGUUGGUGGGGUAGUGGCCUACCAAGGCGACGACGGGUAGCCGGCCUGAGAGGGCGACCGGCCACACUGGGACUGAGAUACGGCCCAGACUCCUACGGGAGGCAGCAGUGGGGAAUAUUGCACAAUGGGCGCAAGCCUGAUGCAGCGACGCCGCGUGAGGGAUGACGGCCUUCGGGUUGUAAACCUCUUUCAGCAGGGAAGAAGCGAAAGUGACGGUACCUGCAGAAGAAGCGCCGGCUAACUACGUGCCAGCAGCCGCGGUAAUACGUAGGGCGCAAGCGUUGUCCGGAAUUAUUGGGCGUAAAGAGCUCGUAGGCGGUUUGUCGCGUCUGCUGUGAAAACCUAAGGCUCAACCUUGGGCUUGCAGUGGGUACGGGCAGACGAGAGUGCGGUAGGGGUGACUGGAAUUCCUGGUGUAGCGGUGGAAUGCGCAGAUAUCAGGAGGAACACCGAUGGCGAAGGCAGGUCACUGGGCCGCAACUGACGCUGAGGAGCGAAAGCAUGGGGAGCGAACAGGAUUAGAUACCCUGGUAGUCCAUGCCGUAAACGUUGGGCACUAGGUGUGGGGCUCAUUCCACGAGUUCCGUGCCGCAGCAAACGCAUUAAGUGCCCCGCCUGGGGAGUACGGCCGCAAGGCUAAAACUCAAAGAAAUUGACGGGGGCCCGCACAAGCGGCGGAGCAUGCGGAUUAAUUCGAUGCAACGCGAAGAACCUUACCAAGGCUUGACAUACACCGGAAACUUCCAGAGAUGGUUGCCCCGCAAGGUCGGUGUACAGGUGGUGCAUGGUUGUCGUCAGCUCGUGUCGUGAGAUGUUGGGUUAAGUCCCGCAACGAGCGCAACCCUCGUCCCAUGUUGCCAGCGGGUUAUGCCGGGGACUCAUGGGAGACUGCCGGGGUCAACUCGGAGGAAGGUGGGGAUGACGUCAAAUCAUCAUGCCCCUUAUGUCUUGGGCUUCACACAUGCUACAAUGGCCGGUACAAAGGGCUGCGAUACCGCGAGGUGGAGCGAAUCCCAAAAAGCCGGUCUCAGUUCGGAUUGGGGUCUGCAACUCGACCCCAUGAAGUCGGAGUCGCUAGUAAUCGCAGAUCAGCAACGCUGCGGUGAAUACGUUCCCGGGCCU
rnacentral:rRNA from 1 species